rnacentral:misc_RNA from 1 species
GUGAAUCAUCGAAUCUUUGAACGCAAAUUGCACUCUCCUCGGAGAGCAUGCCUGUUCGAGGGUCAGCCUAUAAAAAUCGACAUCGUCGCUGGUACCCGGUGUCGUUCGGCCGCUAUUGGGCUAUCUUAACUCCGUUUGAUUUAAUCGACUCAAAAUUUUCUUCUGGUUCCAUGAACGUUUCUAACACCUAUUUCUUUACACUUUCAAGGUAUCGAUUUUUACUAGACGUGACCAUCAUAACGGAUCGCGUCCAUAAUCUUUCAUUAACUGAC